AAGUUCAAUAGGCAUCAAUGGUAUAAUGGUGAUAAGAGAAGAAGCGUGGGUUAUCUUGAUAUUCCUAAUUUUUAUGGGGAUCUUAAACGAGUCCAAUUGGUGGCUUGUGAGUUAAAAGGUGGUGCUUCUGCUUGGUGAGAAUGGCUACAAUCUAAAAGGAAGGAGAAGGAAAAGAGUCGGUUCGUACAUGGUUUAUAAUGAAG
rnacentral:misc_RNA from 1 species